rnacentral:lncRNA from 1 species
AUAGAGGCGCCGCUAAUACAAGCCCGAGUAAAGUUAAGAUCAGGCCCUGGGAGCCGAGUUCGUAAGUAAUUGCGGGCGUAAAAUCCGGUUCGCGCGGCCAGCAUUGCGCGAAUACGCGUGUUAUUAUCGGCGUCCGAUCGGAAACUGACCGGAUAGGAGCUUUCAUAAGUGCGCGUACGCACGCACGCACGAAAUUGUCGUCCUGCAGGCAGGUAUGCCGACCGGAUUGCGUGUCCUGGAUACACGCUGAUGACCAGGCUACUCCAGAAACUUGUCGCGAUUCAACGGAAAAAGAAGAUCACGGAUUUUCGGCCGGUCGCACGUGACAUAUAAGUAUCGCGAUAGCCAAGUUUCAUCUCUUUGAUUGAUGAUGAACAUUUUUGAAAAAUAUCUCUGCGUUUGAAGGAGUAAAAUUUUAUUUAAAUCUAAUAACGCUGUAUGCUAUUGAUAUCUCUCAGAAACUAAGAAUAAAAGAUUAAUUAAAAUUUGCUUAGAUGUAUGAAUUUUAAAUAAAGUGUUUGUAAAAUACAAGUAGAUCGAGAAAUUUGCAGGAAUGCGAAGGAAUGCAGGAAUAAUUUCAAUCGUAUAAUUUUAUUAUCGUUAUUCUAUUAUUGAUAUUCGUCAUCUAAUAUUGCUGAGUGACGCGAUUCUAUUUCUAGAAAGAAACAGUCAAGUGCAAUGCGAUAAAUUGGAGGUCGGGAACAGCAUUGCUUAAGGAGCAGUGACGUUGGUAAGAAGAUAAGAGAAUACCAAGGUCGACGAUAUCAUGCUUUGAUUCACGCACGAGAAGAAGAUAUAUGAAAUGGCUUGCUUUCAAAACCGAUCAAUUUUUUACGUUCAGCACUAUUUGUACAGUUCGUUUUAUGAACAAAUAAAUAUCCUGGGAAAUAUUUAAGAUUAGAAUUUUCAUCGACAUCAAAUGGAUUUCAUCGUUUAUUAAUACGAUGAUUUAUGUUUUAGAUUCCAUCGCGAGUAUAAGUGACUACGCGCCUGCUAUCGGGUGUAUUAGUAUACGAAGAAUACCUCACACCGCAGAAAGAGGAAGAGCAUGCAAGUUACAUGUCGAGAGGAAUGGUGAGGGAUAGAGAAAGAAAGUCGGCUUGUGUCGGAUGUCUGCUCGUCAGAUCGUUUUUCUCCGAGGAGCGGCGCACGCAUGGCGCCUCCGCAUGGGAUCGGCCGACCGGAUCGCCGCCGAUGUUGUUGCAUCGGCGAAGAAAAAAAACAUCACCGGGGAAAAUAUCGAGGCAGUAAGCUUGAAAACGUUUCAUUUAAGAAUUGAAAAAAAAAUCACUCGGUUGGACCAAGAAGAAAAACAGACCAAGAGUGAAAAUAGAAGUUACGAUCGGAACAUUUGUUUACAAUUUUGCUAUAAAUUCAACGAACAUCUGGAAAUUACAGACACCUGCAAAUUUUUUGCUCUCCUCCCCUCAUUUGUAUAAAGAUAAUUCGUUUAUACAAUAUUUAUCACUCUAUUCAGCGUCUAUAUUUAAAUCAAUCAAAACUUACUAAUUUGCUCCUCAAUCUACUUUAUCUGGAAAAAUAGAAUCCACUUUAUCUUACAACAAAAAGUAGAGAAAUUACAGUUUGGCUUUUUUGUCCGCCGAUUGGAAGCACUCUCUAUCGUUCCUUUCUGAGGAACAAAAACUGAAAAAAAAAACAUUGAUAAAUUUGCUUGGGAUAAAGCAAGAAGAGAAUGACGCCGUUACUUUCUUCCUCGUGAGAAAUAUUUAGCUCGGACGUAAUACCAGUUUAUACGUAAAAAUAAGUCGAAUCAGUAGAAUUGCACGUGCGCCUGGUUUCCAAAAAAGGAUUCAAAGGUACGACGAUAACCCGCCCGUUAACCCACAAAUUUGAAAGCCGGUCACCUCUUUUCGUCUGACCUCACGUAAUGCAUACAAAUGUGAUAAAAUGAAGAUCAAUUGUCGGUUAUCAAACUCCUUUAAGAGAAUAAAGGAUAUAGAAAACUCUUAAUAUUAUAUUAUACAA